GUUACAAAAUCCUAAAGAACAUUUAAGACAAAGGCUUUAAUUAACUGAGACCUGAGAUGAAGUGACCAUAAUAAGAAAUGUUGCAUAGUUUUUUUGUGAAAAAGGUAGCAGUAAAAGGUAGAACAGAGAGUGUUUCCCAUAGUGAUAAGAAUUAAAAUAAUUUAUUCUUCUACUUUUUUUUUUUUUUUAAGCACAUAUUUAACUUCAGAUAAAACAUACCAAAGCCUGAAAAAAAAUGGAUCCAUGAAAUGGAUGGUAAAACCAAAUGUACAAUAUUCAACAGACAAAAUUGACAAACGUUUCACCUUUUUUUAUAUAUAUUAAUGUCUUGAAAGCGAGAAGAUAGGGGCAGAAGGGUCUGAGCAGAGACAUCCAUGCUAUGAGGCUGAGCUUUGAGAAGCUGUAUAGUACAGUCGGCAGCCCCCCUCUGCCAUGCUAAGUGGAGCCAGGGAUGGUGGACAAAGGAAAGCCACUUCCGGGUCUGACUUGCUACAUGGUGCAAACAGCUCUCUUCCUGCAAGAGGUGUGCAGCCAGGACAGACAGCUGGGCUGAACUUCACUGCUGCUUCAAACUCAAGGUGAACAUAUGGUCCUUGAAACACAACAAGCAGCACCAAAACAAACCUUGAUCCUUCCAGCUUUGAGUGACACCAGUAGGUGAAGUAACUACCCCG
rnacentral:lncRNA from 1 species